UACAGAGGUCUCAAGCGUUGUUCGGAUUCAUUGGGCGUAAAGCGCGCGUAGGCGGCUUUGCAAGUCGGGUGUGAAAUCCCCAGGCUUAACCUGGGAACUGCAUUCGAGACUGCAUUGCUAGAGUAUGGGAGAGGGAAGUGGAAUUUCCGGUGUAGCGGUGAAAUGCGUAGAUAUCGGAAGGAACAUCAGUGGCGAAAGCGACUUCCUGGACCAAUACUGACGCUCAUGUGCGAAAGCGUGGGGAGCAAACAGG
rnacentral:rRNA from 1 species